CCUGGCCUUGACAUACUAAGAACUUUCCAGAGAUGGAUUGGUGCCUUCGGGAACUUAGAUACAGGUGCUGCAUGGCUGUCGUCAGCUCGUGUCGUGAGAUGUUGGGUUAAGUCCGCAACGAGCGCAACCCUUUUCCUUAUUUGCCAGCGGGUCAUGCCGGGAACUUUAAGGAUACUGCCAGUGACAAACUGGAGGAAGGCGGGGACGACGUCAAGUCAUCAUGGCCCUUACGGCCAGGGCUACACACGUGCUACAAUGGUCGGUACAAAGGGUUGCUACCUCGCGAGAGGAUGCUAAUCUCAAAAAGCCGAUCGUAGUCCGGAUCGCAGUCUGCAACUCGACUGCGUGAAGUCGGAAUCGCUAGUAAUCGCGGAUCAGAAUGCCGCGGUGAAUACGUUCCCGGGCCUUGUACACACCGCCCGUCACACCGUGGGAGUUUGUUGCACCAGAAGUAGGUAGUCUAACCGCAAGGAGGACGCUUACCACGGUGUGGCCGAUGACUGGGGUGAAGUCGUAACAAGGUAGGCGUAGAUGA
rnacentral:rRNA from 1 species